GCCCGCUCCGAAGGCAUGCGGCGGAGAGCUGUGUUUUGGAUUGAUUUUGGGAAGUGUAGAUACUCAGCCGGUUUCUCCUCUGUUGUACUAUUAGCGGUAGCGGAUUAGGGGGUGUUCUAGGGGGUAGUAGUAUGUAGCUAGGUAGGCGGGCAGAGGAACUGAUAUGGGCUGGGAGCUGAUGAGCAUAUGGUUUUUGUAUCGGCUGGAAUGAGAAAUCCUUAUUUGUUUCUUGGCACUGAUGUCACUCUGCUUGCUUAUUGCGCACUUCUGUAUCCGCUCAAGUGCUGAUGUUGCUGAAGUUCUGACGUUGUUCUUCAUGAUGCCAUCACGACGUCGAUUGUUGAGCUACGAUUAAUUUUCACUGCAAAGAAUCCAAGGUCAAUAAUGGCGGCCACUGUAAGCUGAAUGCGGCCGCUGACCCUGUGCGGCCGGCUCCUCACGGAGGGAACCGUCGCUGUAUGCACUGCAUGCCAGUGAUUUCUUGCUUGGCUUCCAUGCGAGGCAUCAGACGGUGUGACCACGAAUCAAGCUGUAGCUUCAAGGUUUGAAAUGCCUCCUGUCCAGCCUGCAAUCAGAAACCACAGUGCAGUGACUCGAUCCCACAGUGCCUCCACUGUUCGUACUUUGUUCGUUUGCUUCAGUGUUUUGGCCUUAUGGGCCAUCUGAUUAGUACUAGCAUUAGGAGUUACACUAACGCUUGCAAAGUGUGGUUGACUGUCGGCACUGUGCCGCUGUUUUGUUUUGUUUUGCCAAGGAGAGUUAAUACGGGCGACAUGAAGCAGUGCGCGGUCUUGAAGACGCAGUUAAUGUGGGUGCGGGUGUGGGAGAUCCGGCAGCAUGAUGUGGCUUUCUUCGCCUCGCAUGCCCGCCUGCCUGCCUCCUGGUGAAGCGUAUUGCAAUGCGAGGUGUGUGGCCGUGCGUGUGACCGGUGUCAAGGCUUCAUUCAGGCUGGCCAUAAUGGGGUAACAUAACCUUAACAUAAUAAAUGUUAUACUACUAUGUGUCAUGCAUGACAAUAAAUAAGAUCAUCUAUGAUACAAUUUUAUAAUACUAUGCACUAUGGAUGUACUCCCUCCGUCCGGGUUUAUUAGGCCUCUCAGCAUCACAAGCAUGUCCCCUUUUAUAAGGCCCCGUGUUGGAAAGGUGCAUGCAUGCAACAAUUUCAUUGGUUGUAUUGAAAGCUAUUGUUGUUGGUGCCAUGGCUGAAAAGUUAAUACACUUCAUGUGUGCUUUUUCAUUGGCUGCAUACAUGUGAGAUAGUGCAUUGGGAGUGGAAUGGAAGAAUUAAUGUGAGCAAAUUAGUAUGUGUUGUCUUUAGGCCUAAUAAACCCGAACGGAGGGAGUAGUAUCAUACACUAGUAUCAUAUGUAUGAUACUAAUAUAUGUUACUCCUCACUAUGACCAGCCUCAGAGCAACACCCCGUGGUCCUGAAGCUGAAAGGAAUGGAGGGGAGGAGAUCACGGUGACGCCGACAGUCUCCAGAUUCUAUGGACGAACCACGACGACGAGUUGCCGUUGGCGCCGCCCGCCGGACCCUUACAAGCACACUGAAACACAAACACAAAGGACCAUGAACACCUAGAGUACCCCAAGACAACCAUAACACAAGAAGAUCUCUGAAACCCCGUGUCAUCAUUUCUGGAUCUUGAGAGAAGACCCCUGCAGUAGAAGGAUCUACAACCAGGCGCAAGCAGGUCAUCAUCUUCGACCACGAUACAAUUGCCGCCGCGCUGCUUCCUCCUUUCUUAACACCAAUGCUGAGAGGGCAUGAAUAUCAAUCUAACACACCCGCAACAGCCGUCGCCAUCUUUGGCUUUCAGUACCGUGAAAAGUGUUCCUUCCGGGAAGAGAACUCGAGUCAACCAACCAGUCCAGCACCGCGGCCGGGCCUUCCGCCUGGACAAAGCAGGAUCUCCCACCAGCAUCGGCGCAGAGAAAGAAGAAGAACAGCAGCAGCAAAUCAUACCGACAAGGAAGAAGAAGGGUCUUCGUCUCCCUGCAUCCAUCGCCCAUCUAAGAACCCAAACGGCCAGUGCCAAUGGACCUCCACCCACCAUAGCCCACAACCUCGACGAGAUCCGGGAUCCCCCACCCCGUUGGCUCCUAGACGAAGGCAAAAGCCUCACCUCACCGCGAACGAAGCCCAAAAAAACUUAUUCCGACGCAACACCACUGCAAACAGCCUUAACAGCGUCUCCCUCAACCCUAACGCUACCACACACCCACCAAGUGGACAGACCCGAGGUCCCCCCUCUUUCCCGCCACCGGAACGACCGAUGGAGAAAGGGAACCGGCGGCGCCACCGGCGACGCGCAAGGGAACCCUUGUCGCCUGCCUAGAUCGCCUCCUGCGAUCAUAUUUUCCCGCUGUGGUCGUUUUUUUCGUGUGUGCACGGUGUGGAACAAACAAUCAUGUGCCGUGAUUUGUUAUGCUGCAACUAGAAGCACGUACUAGUACAAGUGCUGUUUAGCUUCGCUACUGCAGCUUCCACUGCCAUAAUGAUAUAGGAGUAAUCUAAUGAUGCUCAUACCGUACUCAUGUUUGGGAUUGGCCGCGAGUAGUUGUCCUUUUCUUGCGUUUUCUCAACGACAAGCACACUCGAGGCUUAGGCCAUCUCCAGCCGCGCCUUUAAAAAGGCACCCCAGACGUUUUUUCGUCUGCCAGUGUCAAAAAAUCGUUUUAGUCGCGUCCUCAAGAGUUCAGUUUUUGUCGGCUCGGACAGAAAUUAACGCCGGCGGACCCAACCCGAACCCGACGCGUUGGGGGUCGCUCGGGGGUGCCGGGCGAAUCGUUUUUGGCGCGAAGAGCCGCGGACCCGCCGCGUCAGCGACUCUACCCUUUUCUCGCCCCUUCGUCGUCCUCAUCGCCUCGUUUCCCGCGGUGAAUCAAUGCCAAAGCUGCCGCGCGCUACCGCGCCGGUCAGCCUCCAUUGAUGCCUCACGGCGGGUGCAGUGAAGGCUGGGUGGUGUGUCCCUCGGCUGCCACGCAAUUACGCCACGCGUAACGCGUCGGCCAAGCCUACCACGCGGCGUCUCCGCCUAUAAAAGCCGACUGCAAGCGCGCCGGAGAGACUCACCCCGAUCAUCCACCGACGACGCGCUCAUUUCUCCCCCUUUCCUCCUCUCGCCGUCCCCAGUUGAGAAAGCAUGGCCGAGCGUUUCCCAGGCGACGGCGAACGGAUUCGGGCGCCGUCAUCUGCACGAGGACGAGGCUCGCCUCCUUUUCGAGGCCGAGUACCCGGUCCCGCCGGACAUGCGGGUGCCCGGGGCUUGGAGGAUCAGCGCCGGCGGCGUGCCGGUGCCACCACCACCCACCGGGGCGACGCGGCGUGCGGAGAUCGCACGCAUCCGCGCGUCCCUGCCGUGGGCGACGAGGGAGGGGCCACGGUACGUCCCCGACAGCCCGCUCUGGGAGCCCUACUUCCGCCGCCGUCACGCCGAGCAGCUCGAGGCCACCAACGGCGUCGUGCCCUCCGGCAGGCUCAACUCCGAUGGCCGGCGCCGGUGGUGGGGCGUGCCCGGUCGCACGUUGGAGGCCGUCCUCGAGUACAUCGAGGGCGGCAACACGCUGCGCCUCGAGUACCUCGCUUCCCCGUCCUUCUCACGCCGCCGGGGAAGCUCCUGGACGCCGAGGCGCAUGGAGACCGUAGCGUCCUCCUACUCGUCCGGCGGCUCUCCCUGCCUCCACCUCCGCCCUGUCAAGCCGGAGCCCCAGGACACGCUUGUCAGCGCGCGUACCCGCAGCUCCGGCGGCUCUCCCUGCCUCCACCUCCGCCCCGUCAAGCCGGAGCCCCAGGACACGCCUGUCAGCGCGCGUACCCGCAGCUCCGGCGCCCUCGUCGAGCCCAAGGUGGAGUCCAGCCUUCCCCCGGAGUACGAGGAGAUAGCCCGACGCGCCUUCUCCGACGAGGACGCCAUGCGGUGGUCGCGCGACGACUACGUGCGCGAGGAGAUGGUCCGGCAGCGCCGGGCCCUGGAGGAGAUCGCCGCCCGCAAACGUGGGCGCGAGGACGAGGACGGUGUCGUCGUCCUCGAUAGCGACGACGACGACGCCCCCGGACCGUCCAACUCGCCGUGCCAACCGGGGGAGGGGUGCAGUAGGAACGGCGGAGGCGUAGGCGGGGGCGACGACGACGACGACGACGACGGCGGUGACUACACGCGGUUCUACAGCCUCCUCGGUAAGUAGAACCGCGUGGGCGGGCGGCGAGGGAGACGGCGGGGGUAGCCCGCAGUAGUGUUUUUUUUUUCUUUUUUUGUAAAAUAUGUUUAAAUUUGAACGAACCCGCCCGUGUUUGCGUUGUGUUUGCGCCGAAUUUGAACAUUUUAAAAACCCGUGGGGGGCCGCGACUGGGGGGCAUCACGCCCCCAGUGCGCUGUUUAGCGCCGGUGCGCCUCGGGGGCGAUUUUUUGCCCCUCCUGGGGGGCCAACGGCUGGAGAUGCCCUUAGACGUAUCGUUCUUUCUUCCUCGAGAAGAAAAAGGCGAUUUAGCCGGUGCCCGUCGCCAGGGGCUUCCUUUGCCGCCGUCCCCCGGUGGCUCCCUUCCGUUGACGAUCUCGGUCGUUAGUAGUGAGGGGGUCAUCAGAUCCACGCGUGUGGAUAUAUUUAAGGCCAAAAUAGCUUAGUUUUUCGGUUGCUCAUUGUCGCGAUGACGACACUGAAUAAAGUUUCUUCAGAUUCUACUUCGAUGAGAUGAUCGGUCCUACGGUUAGGGAUGAAUUUGAAAUCCACUUUGUUCAAGCAAGAAUGGUGCAGCGGCAACGACAUCCUCGUGGUGGAACCGUGUCCUCAGGCUCCGUCGAUGCGACGACGUUUGCUCCAGCGCCGGCGUGGAGCCUGGGAGGUAGUCUAGGAGCGGAUGCAGAUUAUGAUUUGCAUCGGCGGCAUCGAGAAAAUGGUGGGUCGUGCGCUGAGUUCGUGGUAUGUGGAUGUCAGGUAUGCUUUCCUCCUCUGACGUCUUGUCCCGAUUUAAUUCGUUCAACGGUAAUGGUUUCGUCUUUGGCGAGUCUCCUUGAAGGUCCGCAAAGCUGCAUAUCAACGAUGGAGCUGCGUUGAUGUCAAGCUUAGAGGUUUCUUUGGUCUUGUUUGUACUUUUUACUUUUUGGCUAGUGUUUCUUUAUUUAAAGGUUAGCAUUCUGCUAUUUUUUAGUUUUGUCGUCGAUAUGUAUGUAACUUGUACGAUGAUCCUUAUGUCGUAUAAACAAGACACAUAUUAUGAUAAAAGAAAUGCACGCUCGAGGCUUGAAGAAAUGCCAUGAGGGAUCCGAGACAGCAACGCGGCACCGGCGAAACUUGGAACCUGAUUUGAUCGACGCAGGGAAUUUCGGCCUUGACGUACGGCUUUGCUCUGCUUUCCUUUUCUUUUCCGUUUAGUCGAGGGAGUUCGUUGCUGCGCAAGCGCCCCCAACCACUCCAUGACGCUGAAGGACACGAGGCAUAGGGGAGGGGAGACCCAAGUCAAAUCCUUCAGACUGAAGCCAGAUACGAUUCGAUAUUAACACCACAUCUAACUGGCCGCAGAAAAGAAUUUGCCAUUUUUGUCCCAUCGCGAUAGACAUGUAAUCCUUCAGACUGUAAAAGCAGUGGCUUUGCACACAUUAUGUCUGUCUAAGGGAAAGAGGUGUCGGUAUGCUAAUAUUCACCUGUUUCCCCUCUUUUCGCACUGAUGGUGAAGAGUUGUAACAGUCAAGGGUAUACGGAAAAAAAUUAUAUGAGACUAGGGCUUCCUUUGGUUUAGAGGAAUUUCAUAGGAAUUCUAAAUGAUAGGAUUCUUAUACGAUUUUUUUGAGCCCUUUGGUUCAUAGGAAUGGAUUCCUAUUCCUACAUAGGAUUGGUUCCUAUCCUUCACAUUUCAUAGGAAAAUAAAAAAGAACCCAGACUUAAUGAAAAAAUUCCUUUGAUGUCAACCAAAUGACAUCUUGUUUCCUAUUCGAGUUAAUUGCAAGAAACCACCACAUUUAGGGUUUCGUUUGCGGAAAAAUACCUGGUCCUUAAUUUUUUUGCAAAAGUCACCGCAUAUCUAGUAAACUUUUUGCAUAUUGCACUGAUCAGGUGAUUGACAAGUAGGGUCGAAUUGUAAGAAGCGAACUUAGCAAAAAAAAAAA
rnacentral:lncRNA from 1 species